UUGCCCAAACUUGCCCAUUCGUGC
rnacentral:siRNA from 1 species